rnacentral:rRNA from 1 species
AUUGAACGCUGGCGGCAGGCUUAACACAUGCAAGUCGAGCGGAGAUGAGGUGCUUGCACCUUAUCUUAGCGGCGGACGGGUGAGUAACGCUUAGGAAUCUGCCUAUUAGAGGGGGACAACAUUCCGAAAGGAAUGCUAAUACCGCAUACGCCCUACGGGGGAAAGCAGGGGAUCUUCGGACCUUGCUCUAAUAGAUGAGCCUAAGUCGGAUUAGCUAGCUGGUGGGGUAAAGGCCUACCAAGGCGACGAUCUGUAGCGGGUCUGAGAGGGUGAUCCGCCACACUGGGACUGAGACACGGCCCAGACUCCUACGGGAGGCAGCAGUGGGGAAUAUUGGACAAUGGGCGGAAGCCUGAUCCAGCCAUGCCGCGUGUGUGAAAAAGGCCUUUUGGUUGUAAAGCACUUUAAGCGAGGAGGAGGCUACCUGGAUUAAUACUCUAGGAUAGUGGACGUUACUCGCAGAAUAAGCACCGGCUAACUCUGUGCCAGCCGCCGCCGUAACAC